AUUGAACGCUGGCGGCAGGCUUAACACAUGCAAGUCGAGCGGGGGAAGGUAGCUUGCUACCGGACCUAGCGGCGGACGGGUGAGUAAGGCUUAGGAAUCUGCCUAUUAGUGGGGGACAACAUCUCGAAAGGGAUGAUAAUACCGCAUACGUCUUACGGGAGAAAUCAGGGGAUCUUCGGAACUUGCGCUAAUAGAUGAGCCUAAGUCGGCUUAGCUAGUUGGUGGGGUAAAGGCCUACCAAGGCGACGAUCUGUAGCGGGUCUGAGAGGUUGGUCCGCCACACUGGGAGUGGGCCACGGCCCAAACUCCUACGGGAGGCAGCAGUGUGGAAUAUUGGACAAUGGGGGGAACCCUGAUCCAGCCAUGCCGCGUGUGUGAAGAAGGCCUUAUGGUUGUAAAGCACUUUAAGCGAGGAGGAGGCUACUUUAGUUAAUACCUAGAGAUAGUGGACGUUACUCGCAGAAUAAGCACCGGCUAACUCUGUGCCAGCCGCCGCCGUAA
rnacentral:rRNA from 1 species